rnacentral:rRNA from 1 species
CCCUACGGGGGGCAGCAGUAGGGAAUUUUCGUCAAUGGGCGCAAGCCUGAACGAGCAAUGCCGCGUGAACGAGGAAGGUCUUCGGAUCGUAAAGUUCUGUUGAAGGGGAAAAAGAGCGGAGAGAGGAAAUGAACUCCGAUUGAUAUUACCCUUCGAGGAAGUCACGGCUAACUACGUGCCAGCAGCCGCGGUAAUACGUAGGUGGCGAGCGUUAUCCGGAAUGAUUGGGCGUAAAGGGUGCGUAGGCGGCCUGCUAAGUCUGGAGUGAAAUGCCGGGGCUCAACCCCGGAACUGCUUUGGAAACU